UCCCAGUUCGAGCGCUGCAGCCACUUCUUCCAGAUGAAAAACAUCUCCUUCUGCGGGUGCCACCCCCGGAACAGCUGCUACUUCGGGUUCAUCACCAAGCACCCGGUGCUGAGCCGCUUCGCCUGCCACGUGUUCGUGUCCCAGGAGUCCAUGAGACACGUGGCCGAGUGUGUCGGCCGAGCAUUUCAGGAAUAUUACCAGGAGCACCUGGAAUACGCCUGCCCCACAGAGGACAUCUACCUGGAGUAGGG